rnacentral:rRNA from 1 species
UUUGCCCUACGGGGCGCAGCAGUGGGGAAUAUUGGACAAUGGGGGGAACCCUGAUCCAGCGACGCCGCGUGAGUGAAGAAGUAUUUCGGUAUGUAAAGCUCUAUCAGCAGGGAAGAAAGAAAUGACGGUACCUGACUAAGAAGCCCCGGCUAACUACGUGCCAGCAGCCGCGGUAAUACGUAGGGGGCGAGCGUUAUCCGGAUUCACUGGGUGUAAAGGGAGCGUAGACGGCCAAGCAAGCCAGGGGUGAAAGCCCGGGGCCCAAUCCCGGGACUGCCCUUGGAACUGCAUGGCUGGAGUGCGGG